rnacentral:rRNA from 1 species
UGUCUGGAAUCCCGAAGAGAUUUGGGAGUGCUCGCAAGAGAACCGGAACACAGGUGCUGCAUGGCUGUCGUCAGCUCGUGUCGUGAGAUGUUGGGUUAAGUCCCGCAACGAGCGCAACCCUUGCCAUUAGUUGCUACAUUCAGUUGGGCACUCUAAUGGGACUGCCGGUGACAAACCGGAGGAAGGUGGGGAUGACGUCAAGUCCUCAUGGCCCUUAUGGGUAGGGCUUCACACGUCAUACAAUGGUCGGGACAGAGGGUUGCCAAGCCGUGAGGUGGAGUCAAUCUCAGAAACCCGAUCGUAGUCCGGAUCGCAGUCUGCAACUCGACUGCGUGAAGUCGGAAUCGCUAGUAAUCGCGGAUCAGCAUGUCGCGGUGAAUACGUUCCCGGGUCUUGUACACACCGCCCGUCACACCAUGGGAGUGGGUUUCACCAGAAGUAGGUAGCCUAACCGCAAGGAGGGCGCUUACCACGGUGAGAUUCAUGACUGGGGUGAAGUCGUAACAAGGUAAGCGUAGUGCU